UAUUCUUGUUUAGCAAAGAAAAGAAGCAGCAAGCAGAGAGUUUAGUUAAAGAUUUUAGAAAAACGUUGCUCUGAUUGAAUUGUCAUAUUCAGACUUGGUUUUGAUUGCAUUUGAAUUAUCAAAGCCCCAGCAAAUCAUUUAAGAGAAAAAACAUGAAUGUGUUAAAGAAAAUCUUCCUGUGGAAACAAUUAGCGGUUCGAUAUGCUAAAGUGGGUGUUAUUUUGGCUUGUUUAACAGCAUUUCUUGUCUGCUUACGGACACCUUUGGUUCGUCAAGUCAGCAUUAUAAAUGAACAUCUGGAAACUUUAGCUGAACAUCAACCACGCAACGCUAGUUUGGAAGCUGAAAUAACGACUUCUGAACAACAAAAGUGCAUCGAUACUCCGUGGAUUGACUCUCCAGCACUAGUUCACCGUUAUGCUCCCUUAAAUCACCCCGACUAUUCACUUCCAAAGGGGCUGAAAAUGCUACAGGACCCUUCUGACGCCGCUAGUCUGAUGGAAAAAUGCUCAAAAGUUCACUCGGAAGCGAAUUUGGGGAUCCUCAUGAUCAACUCUCGGACAACUUCCUUCGCACAACGGUUGGCCGUACGUGAGACAUAUCUACCAGAAUUAUUACAAUCGACCACUAAAAACUUCACUUGGAUAUAUUUUUUCGCAGUUAGUCAACCUUAUUCGAACGGCAAUGAUAAUAUUUCAAACACAAAGGAGCAUUUGCAAAAGGAAAUAUCCCAAUAUGCCGAUGUUGUUGUUUUCAACACGCCUGAAGGUUACGAUUUAACCCCGCUCAAAAUUCUUUCGUCAAUGAAGUUAGUUUAUUGCUACUGUCCAAAAUUCGAUUAUUUUGCUAAAUCUGACGACGAUACAUACACAAGAAUCGAUAGACUGAACAAUGAGCUUCCCAAACUGCAAAAAGAAAUAGAUGAA